GGAUGUGGCUGAAGCAGUAGCACGCUCGCCUGGCAUGCGUGCGGCCUGGGUUCGACCCUCAGCACCACAUACA
rnacentral:tRNA from 1 species